GAAAAUGAUUUUCCUUACAAAACUUUGUGCCUGCCACCGUGCUUGCUGUCAAACUAUGAAGGUUUCCUUGGGCUUUCAUGUGAUAUUACUGAUCUGACGCAGUUCAGGAUGGUACUGCAGAAGAAAUGUGCAUUUCUAUAUGUGCUGCAGGGAGAAUUGCAACUGAAAGGAGAAAUUUUAUCCCCUUCCUCUCAUGUAUGUGUUGUUGUUGUUGUUUUUGCUAACAGGUGUUGCCCAACAUAGGUGAGGAAAUGGCUGGUAUCUUCCUCAAUUGAAAACAAAAUGUUGUUGGAAUGGAUUGCACUUCUGCCAGUAAUGCUAAAGGAAAGGUAGAAGAUGGAAAAUGAAAUGUAGUGAAUGUAGUGGGAGACUGGAUGGGUACAAGACAUGAAAAACAAAGUCAAGCCAAGCGCUUGCAGAAUGCAGGAGACCUUCACAUCCAUGAAGACACAGCUGCUGAGUCAGGCCUGUGGCUACUUGCACACCCAAGAAAUACACACGUGUUGAUAGAAAACAGAUUUAAAAGGUACCUAAAAUAAUAGCUUUUUAAGACAGUAUUACAGUCAUAUAGCUUGUUGGGAAAGACACACCAUGGCUCACAGUCUGAAUUAAACAUGUGUCAUUGUGGCUGAGAGAGAAAUCUUCUACCUUCCAGAAACCUGAUAUUUUGGACCAAAUCCCUCACUGAACAGGUUGUAUGCUGCCCUUUUCAAAAUCAAGUUAUCAGAAGAUGCCCUUCAGCAGAAGCGUUAAGAGGACUUGAGGUUUAUUAAGACGAGUCUCACAAAGAUCUGCAUGUACGUAGAGCAGCGACUCUUGUGUUCCUGCUGUGGUGCCCUGGAAGUGCGGUGGAUAUCUGAUGGAAAGGACUGGUUCAGCACCUCACAGGGUUACUACCCGGAGAAGCUGUGUGCUAAAUUCACACCAGAUCUCGGUGGUGGACUCUUAUCUCUCUGAUAAGCUUGCCUUUCAAAUCUAGACACACCAACCACUGUAUAUAACCUUUCUUAAGACACUUUUCU